rnacentral:rRNA from 1 species
CCUACGGGAGGCAGCAGUGAGGAAUCUUGGUCAAUGGGCGCGAGCCUGAACCAGCCAAGUAGCGUGAAGGAUGACUGCCCUACGGGUUGUAAACUUCUUUUAUAGAGGAAUAAAGUGCGGCACGUGUGCCUUUUUGUAUGUACUUUAUGAAUAAGGAUCGGCUAACUCCGUGCACGCACACGCGGUACUACGGGGGAUUCGAGUGUUAUCCGGAUUUAUUUGGUUUAAAGGGAGCGUCGAUGGGUGUUUAAGUCAGUGGUGAAAGUUUGCGGCUCAACCGUACAAUUGCAAUUGAUACUGGCAGUCGUGAGUACAGUUGAGGUAGGCGGAAUUCGUGGUGUAGCGGUGAAAUGCUUAGAUAUCACGAAGAACCCCGAUUGCGAAGGCAGCUUACUAAACUGCCACUGACAUUGAUGCUCGAAAGUGUGGGGAUCAAACAGGAUUAGAUACCCGAGUAGUC